rnacentral:rRNA from 1 species
UACGUAGGGUGCGAGCGUUAAUCGGAAUUACUGGGCGUAAAGCGUGCGCAGGCGGUUUUGUAAGCCAGAUGUGAAAGCCCCGGGCUCAACCUGGGAAUGGCAUUUGGGACUGCAAGGCUGGAGUUUGGCAGAGGAGACUGGAAUUCCUGGUGUAGCAGUGAAAUGCGUAGAUAUCAGGAGGAAUACCGAUGGCGAAGGCAGGUCUCUGGGCUAUAACUGACGCUGAGGAGCGAAAGCAUGGGGAGCGAACAGG